AUUGAACGCUGGCGGCAUGCUUUACACAUGCAAGUCGGACGAGUGGCGAACGGGUGAGUAAUAUAUCGGAACGUACCGAGUAAUGGGGGAUAACUAAUCGAAAGAUUAGCUAAUACCGCAUAUUAUUCGAGCGGCCGAUAUCUGAUUAGCUAGUUGGUGGGGUAAAGGCCUACCAAGGCAUCGAUCAGUAGCGGUGCUGAGAGGAUGAUCCGCCACACGGGGACUGAGACAGGGCCCAGACUCCGAGCGGAGGCAGCAUUGGGUAAUUUUGGACAAUGGGCGCAAGCCUGAUCCAGCCAUGCCGCGUGUCUGAAGAAGGCCUUCGGGUUGUAAAGGACUUUUGUCAGGGAAGCGGUACCUGAAGAACAAGCACCGGCUAACUACGUGCCAGCCGCCGCGGUAAUUC
rnacentral:rRNA from 1 species